rnacentral:lncRNA from 1 species
UGGGGAACAACUAGUUAGACUGUCCUCGAACUCCUCGGCCUCUGCGAGAGAGGAAUUCGCGGGUAAAACUUGAAAAUAAGGAUGCACUACUAGUAAGCUUUUUAAGCAAAACACUUUGGCUCCUUGCUCAGCCACCCCUUGUCUACCCUAAGCCUGCAUCCCUAAGAUCUCCUCUUUUCCCAUCGGGUAAGUCUUGUUG